rnacentral:rRNA from 1 species
CCUACGGGAGGCUGCAGUGAGGAAUAUUGGUCAAUGGACGGAAGUCUGAACCAGCCAUGCCGCGUGCAGGAAGACGGCUCUAUGAGUUGUAACCUGCUUUUGUACAAGGGUACACCUGAAUACGUGUAUUCAGCUGAAAGUACUGUACGAAUAAGGAUCGGCUAACUCCGUGCCAACAGCCGCGGUAAUACGGAGGAUCCAAGCGUUAUCCGGAUUUAUUUGGUUUAACGGGUGCGUAGGCGGAGUGAUAAGGUAGAGGUGAAAUGGCCGAGCGUAACUCGGGAACUGCCUCUAAUACUGUUGAUCUAGAGAGUAGAUGCGGUAGGCGGAAUGUAUGGGGUAGCGGUGAAAUGCUUAGAGAUCAUACAGAACAACGAGUGCGAAGGCAGCUUACCAAUCUAUAUCUGACGUUGAGGCACGAAAGCGUGGGGAGCAAACAGGAUUAGAUACCCGAGUAGUC